rnacentral:lncRNA from 1 species
AAUAAAGGAAAAUACCUCCCAUUAAACAUUUGUAAAAAAAGGUUUUUUGGGGAUUAUUAACUAACUAACAUAAUGGCGCGCCUUCACGUAGCUCUCCUUCUUCUCUUCAUUGCCGUCUCCACCGCCAUCGUAUCAGCUACCGAUAAACCGUCGGUAACCACUGCUGGACCUCCAACCUCAACAACUCCGACCAGUGGAGAUGUCGAGGCAGCAGAGGCUCCAGGAGACGACAACGCCAUCGGAACAACCGACGAUGAUGCACCUGGUACUCCCGGAGAUGAUGAUGUGGCAGUCGCCGGAC